rnacentral:rRNA from 1 species
UACGAAGGGGGCUAGCGUUGCUCGGAAUUACUGGGCGUAAAGCGCACGUAGGCGGCUCUUUAAGUCGGAGGUGAAAUCCUGGAGCUCAACUCCAGAACUGCCUUCGAUACUGAAGAGCUCGAGUCCGGGAGGGGUGAGUGGAACUGCGAGUGUAGAGGUGAAAUUCGUAGAUAUUCGCAAGAACACCAGUGGCGAAGGCGGCUCACUGGCCCGGUACUGACGCUGAGGUGCGAAAGCGUGGGGAGCAAACAGG